rnacentral:rRNA from 1 species
GUAGGUGGCAAGCGUUGUCCGGAAUUAUUGGGCGUAAAGCGCGCGUAGGCGGUUCUUUAAGUCUGAUGUGAAAGCCCACGGCUCAACCGUGGAGGGUCAUUGGAAACUGGAGAACUUGAGUACAGAAGAGGAAAGCGGAAUUCCACGUGUAGCGGUGAAAUGCGUAGAGAUGUGGAGGAACACCAGUGGCGAAGGCGGCUUUCUGGUCUGUAACUGACGCUGAGGCGCGAAAGCGUGGGGAGCAAACAGGGAUUAGAUACCCUGGUAGUCCACGCCGUAAACGAUGAGUGCUAAGUGUUAGGGGGUUUCCCGCCCCUUAGUGCUGCAGCUAACGCAUUAAGCACUCCGCCUGGGGAGUACGGCCGCAAGGCUG